rnacentral:rRNA from 1 species
GACGAACGCUGGCGGCAUGCCUAAUACAUGCAAGUCGAGCGAACAGAUGAAGUGCUUGCACUUCUGACGUUAGCGGCGAACGGGUGAGUAACACGUAAGGAAUCUACCUAUAAGCGGGGGAUAACAUUCGGAAACGGGUGCUAAUACCGCAUAAUAUCUUCUUCCGCAUGGAAGAAGAUUGAAAGACGGCUCUGCUGUCACUUAUAGAUGACCUUGCGGUGCAUUAGUUAGUUGGUGGGGUAAUCGCCUACCAAGACGAUGAUGCAUAGCCGACCUGGGAGGGUGAUCGGCCACAUUGGGCCUGAGACACGGCCCAAACUCCUACGGGAGGCAGCAGUAGGGAAUCUUCCGCAAUGGGCGAAAGCCUGACGGAGCAAUGCCGCGUGAGUGAAGAAGGCCUUCGGGUCGUAAAACUCUGUUAUAAGAGAAGAACAAAUUGUAGAGUAACUGCUACAGUCUUGACGGUAUCUUAUCAGAAAGCCACGGCUAACUACGUGCCAGCCGCCGCAGUAA